rnacentral:lncRNA from 1 species
UCAGGCGAGCCGAGCCCCAGAGCCAUGUGUCUGGUGCGCAGUGUUAACAGGGCAGUUAUACCUUUUACAGACAACUGUGGCUCCAAGUCAAGUAUGAACUUACACAAACAGUUUAUAUAACAAGUGGAGGUGUGCGCCUGCGUGCCAAACUUGCUGACUCGUGCAGGCCUGGAUACCCGCCUCAGACUAUUCCUUGACCGAAGCACUUCCAGGGCAGGAAACUGAAGCUCUUGGGAAGGUGGAAGUUGCACGUGGUCUCACAGUCAACUGUGCCAGAAUAGGAGGCCAGGAACCAUCUCUGCUGGAGGAAGACCCACCACGCAUCCCUUCAAGAAUGCCAAGGUCCAGAGCAAGUGCUUCCCUUCUAUGGGCACAGGAGGGCUGUGGGAGCCCACAGAAUGUGCUUCUGGCCAGAGUGGGAUCCCCGAGGAAGAUGUUAAGACCUCUAAUAAUAUUUAAGAGCAAAAUUAGCACAGCUCCAGCCCAUGGGCAAGUUAAGAGACAGGAGUAGUGUCUGUGGAGUGGAGGAAAGCAGAGGCUGCCGCUGACCAUCCUGCAGCCCUCGCUCUGGCUGCUCACAGCUCUCCACCUUCUCUGGACUUCGUCACUUCAGUAUGUGAAACAACCAUUUCAACCAGCUUGGACAAAAGAGAGAAGCCAAGAUGGGGCUGAGAAACCAAUGCAGGCAGGCCCAGGGACCCAGGAGUCAGGGACCAGGUGCUACCAGAUGCUUGCUCCGACUCGUGUUGCUGCUGUCUUCUCUGUGCCUCAACUCUGUCCUCUGUCACUGCAGGCAGCUUCCUCCCAAGGUGAUGGAGACCAUGCCAUUGCUAGUCUACCUUGAAAGACAGAUGUGAAGAAUGAAGUCAGGGGCUUUGCAGCCAUGAGAAGACAUGCCUUGCUUCUCCUCUUCACCUUCUGCCAUGAUUGUAAGUUUCCUGAGGCUUCCCCAGCUAUGCAGAACUAUCUCCAUGGGAUAACCACAUUGGUUUGUUUAGUAAACACUGAGACCAACUCCACCAUCCAGAGGCCUGACAGACAAAUGGCCUGAGACAGGGCUGGGAAAGUUUUGCUUCUGGUUGGGACUUCAGGAAGAGUUUUGUUUUGUUUUGUUUUCCCCCAAGGGAACAAGCCCUUGAAUCCGGGAGGCCAAGGUUGCGGUGAACCGAGAUUGCGCCAUUGCACUCCAGCCUGGGCAACAAGAGCGAAACUCCGUCUCAAAAACAUAAAAAGUAAAAAA